UGAAGAAAACCACACAGGCACAGAGUCCCAGCUGCUUCUGGGAGGAAAAGUGAGAGGAAAAAGGUACAAGUUUGUUUCCUUUUGUCCUGUUUCUGAUAGGCUGCUGAGUGAGGAGAACAGGAAGCAGGAAGCAGUCGAAGAGGAGGAUGAGGAGGAGCGGUGAAGAAGAGGUGGACCGACCUGGAAGAGACUGGCGCAGGAACUCGGACAGGAAGUGGAAACCGGAUCGACGGCGGCUCUGUUUUCUGCUCCACACCGGUCUCACCUGACGGACAGGUGGGAGCGUCCUGCUGUGAGACGGAGCCGCGGCUAACGCUACGCCUGUUAACCUUCAGCUGGGAACCAGGAAGUGUCGGAGCGAUCUGAUUGGCCAGCAGGUUCCUGAGUCAGAGCAACGAAACGCUCCGACAGCAGCUGUACAAAUAUUAAAUAUUAAAAAAUAUUUUAAAAUGUGUUUAAGAAAAAUCUGAA